rnacentral:rRNA from 1 species
UACGUAGGGGGCAAGCGUUGUCCGGAAUCAUUGGGCGUAAAGCGCGUGUAGGCGGCCCGGUAAGUCCGCUGUGAAAGUCGGGGGCUCAACCCUCGAAUGCCGGUGGAUACUGUCGGGCUAGAGUGCGGAAGAGGCGAGUGGAAUUCCUGGUGUAGCGGUGAAAUGCGCAGAUAUCAGGAGGAACACCAAUUGCGAAGGCAGCUCGCUGGGACGUGACUGACGCUGAGGCGCGAAAGCGUGGGGAGCGAACAGG